rnacentral:sRNA from 1 species
AGUAGUUCACCAUCUUU